rnacentral:rRNA from 1 species
UACGUAGGGUGCAAGCGUUAAUCGGAAUUACUGGGCGUAAAGCGUGCGCAGGCGGUUUUGUAAGUCUGUCGUGAAAGCCCCGGGCUCAACCUGGGAAUUGCGAUGGAGACUGCAAGGCUUGAAUCUGGCAGAGGGGGGUAGAAUUCCACGUGUAGCAGUGAAAUGCGUAGAGAUGUGGAGGAACACCGAUGGCGAAGGCAGCCCCCUGGGUCAAGAGUGAUGCUCAUGCACGAAAGCGUGGGGAGCAAACAGG